AGUGAAGCGGGAAAAGCUCAAAUUUAAAAUCUGGCGGUCUAUGGCUGUCCGAGUUGUAAUCUAGAGAAGUAAUGCCCGCGCUGGACUGUGUACAAGUCUCCUGGAAUGGAGCGUCAUAGAGGGUGAGAAUCCCGUCUCUGACACGGACUACCAGGGCUUUGUGGUAUGCUCUCAAAGAGUCGAGUUGUUUGGGAAUGCAGCUCUAAAUGGGUGGUAAAUUCCAUCUAAAGCUAAAUAUUGGCGAGAGACCGAUAGCGAACAAGUACCGUGAGGGAAAGAUGAAAAGAACUUUGGAAAGAGAGUUAAACAGUACGUGAAAUUGCUGAAAGGGAAACGCUUGAAGUCAGUCGCGUUAGCUAGGAAUCAGCCUUGCUUUUGCUUGGUGUACUUUCUGGUUGACGGGUCAGCAUCAAUUUUGAGUGCUGGAAAAAGGCCUUGGGAAUGUGGCAGCUUUGGCUGUGUUAUAGCCCUUGGUCACAUACAGCAGUUGGGAUUGAGGAACUCAGCACGCCGCAAGGCCGGGUUUCGACCACGUUCGUGCUUAGGAUGCUGGCAUAAUGGCUUUAAGCGACCCGUCUUGAAACACGGACCAAGGAGUCUAACAUGCCUGCGAGUGUUUGGGUGGUAAACCCUUGCGCGUAAUGAAAGUGAAAGUUGAGAUCCCUGUCGUGGGGAGCAUCGACGCCCGGACUUGAACUUUUGUGACGGAUCCGCGGUAGAGCAUGUAUGUUGGGACCCGAAAGAUGGUGAACUAUGCCUGAAUAGGGUGAAGCCAGAGGAAAC
rnacentral:rRNA from 1 species